rnacentral:misc_RNA from 1 species
CAGCAAGUAUCUUCCUGAGGGUGGCAUAAUCUCUCGUUGCAAUGGCCUUGUGCACAGAACUAUGGACAUAUUUUGAAAUAUCAAUCCCCGCCAUGCCUCAGGAGUAUAUAAAGAUGAAACCAGACAAUAACAUACACAAUCAAAACCUCAAUUCUAUCAUCCAACGUUGAAUAUGAUUGCUAAUCACCGCCCCAAAUUAUAACCUAAAAAAACAGGAGGUAACAUAAUCAACACCCAUCAACCAUUUGCUCUGCAUGAACCACUGAAUUUUUAAUAGAAGAAAUGGACCCAGUUCAAAAACUGGGUGCCAAGAUGACAAUAUGAGAAAUAACUAGCAAUCUUCCCGAAAAGAGAAUCAGACCCAGUUCAAGUUUCACCCAGGUAGCACAAGAAAAUAACACAGCGAGAAAACUGCAGCUAUCCUCAAGAAGUACAAGCAAAGAAUUUUGCUUGGUCCAAAGCAGGAAAAGGAUCCAAUAGGCCAAGAAAUCUCACCUUCUUCUUCUCAAAGAUGCUGCACAAAGAGACUCGAGCACC